GGGGGUGACUGGUUUCGACUUCGUACGUCGAGCCAGGGGAAGCGGGCUGAGGAAGCCGACGUCGUCUCAUUAAUCGGUCGUCGGAAACCUAUAAGCGCCAACUCUAAGCGCGCUGACUUCGCUCUCGCCGCCUGAGGCGAGUAGCGAGUCUGUCGGUCCGGAAGUGCCUUCGGUCCGGUAACCGGCAUCAGCUAGAGGGCUUGCUGUACGAGUGCGGUCGCGGCACUCGGACGGGACAUCAACAGCGACUGGACCCGUCACACCGACUCGCUCGCGUGAUCGGUGGGGCCGAGUAGAGACACAGCGAGCUGCGCCCGGAGAAGCCCUGGCAACACAGCGAAGGACCCGGGUUCAAUUCCCGGCACCUCCAC
rnacentral:tmRNA from 1 species